GAUGAACGCUGGCGGCGUGCCUAACACAUGCAAGUCGAGCGGACCUUCUCGGCUCUUGCUCCUCUGACGUUAGCGGGGGACGGGGGAGUAACACAUGGAUAACACCCCUCUAAGACUUGGGUAUAUUCGGGAAACCGGAGGUAAUACCGGAUAAUAUAUUGCACCGCAUGGUUCAAUAGUUAAAGACGGUUUUGCUGUCUCUUAUUGAUGGGUCCGCGCCGCAUCAGCUAGUUGGUGAGGUAACGGCUUACCAAGGCACCGAUGCGUGGCCGACCUGAGAGGGUGAUCGCCGACACAGGAGCUGAGACACGGUGCAGACUCCUAUGGGAGGCAGCAGAAGGGAAUCUUCUGCACUGUGCGAGAGCCUGACGGAGCAACGCCGCGUGAGUGAUGAAGGUCUUCGGAUCGUAAGACUCUGUUAUUAGGGAGGAACAAAUGUGUAAGUAACUAUGCACGUCUUGACGGUACCUGUUAAGAAAGCCCCGGCUAACUACGUG
rnacentral:rRNA from 1 species